UGCGGCUGGAUCCCCUCCUUACCUUAAAAGACCGAAGCUAUUAAGCGCUCACACAAAUGCAUACGCUAAACAUAAAUACUUAAAGUAUUUAUGUAGUUCUUUAACAAUUUGGAAUAAAACCGUCUGAUGUAUUGAAAUUUGAACACUUAUGUGAAGGCAUAUAGAUUUUCGAAAAAUGUUUGAAAAUGCAUAUAUCUUUUGGUUCAAAUAAGUUUGCGCGUAAGCACAAAUUUUUUUGAGUAAACUUUAGGAUAUAUGGUCAAGUGAAUAAGCGCAUAUGGUGGAUGCCUAGGCGGUAGGAGGCGAUGAAGGACGUAGAAGUCUGCGAAAAGCUUCGGGGAGCUGACAAACAAGCUUUGAUCCGGAGAUGUCCGAAUGGGGAAACCCGGAAGGGCGA
rnacentral:misc_RNA from 1 species